GACAGAGGGGGCAAGCGUUGCUCGGAAUUACUGGGCGUAAAGAGCUCGUAGGUGGUUUGUCGCGUUGUUCGUGAAAACUCACAGCUUAACUGUGGGCGUGCGGGCGAUACGGGCAGACUGGAGUACUGCAGGGGAGACUGGAAUUCCUGGUGUAGCGGUGGAAUGCGCAGAUAUCAGGAGGAACACCCGUGGCGAAGGCGGUUCUCUGGGACGGUACUGACGCUGAGACGCGAAAGCGUGGGGAGCAAACAGG
rnacentral:rRNA from 1 species